rnacentral:rRNA from 1 species
CGUAGGGUCCGAGCGUUGUCCGGAAUUAUUGGGCGUAAAGGGCUUGUAGGCGGUUCGUCACGUCGGAAGUGAAAACUCAGGGCUUAACCCUGAGCCUGCUUCCGAUACGGGCAAACUAGAGGGAUGCAGGGGAGAACGGAAUUCCUGGUGGAGCGGCGGAAUGCGCAGAUAUCAGGAGGAACACCGGUGGCGAAGGCGGUUCUCUGGGCAUUUCCUGACGCUGAGAAGCGAAAGCGUGGGGAGCAAACAGGCUUAGAUACCCUGGUAGUCCACGCCGUAAACGGUGGGCACUAGGUGUGGGGAACAUUCCACGUUCUCCGUGCCGAAGCUAACGCAUUAAGUGCCCCGCCUGGGGAGUACGGCCGCAAGGCUA